rnacentral:rRNA from 1 species
UGAGGGAUAUUGCGCAAUGGGGGAAACCCUGACGCAGCGACGCCGCGUGGGUGAUGAAGGGCUUCGGCUCGUAAAACCCUUUUCUGCGUGACGAGGAAGGACGGUAGCGCAGGAAUAAGUCUCGGCUAACUACGUGCCAGCAGCCGCGGUAAAACGUAGGAGACAAACGUUAUCCGGAGUUACUGGGCGUAAAGGGCGUGCAGGCGGUGAUCUAAGUCUGGCGUGAAAUAUCCCGGCUUAACCGGGAUAGGUCGUCGGAUACUGGGUGACUAGAGGACAGCAGAGGCGUGUGGAAUUCCGGGUGUAGUGGUGAAAUGCGUAGAGAUCCGGAGGAACACCAGUGGCGAAGGCGACACGCUGGGCUGUACCUGACGCUAAGACGCGACAGCAUGGGGAGCGA